rnacentral:rRNA from 1 species
GAUGAACGCUGGCGGCGUGCCUAAUACAUGCAAGUCGAGCGAACGGACGAGAAGCUUGCUUCUCUGAUGUUAGCGGCGGACGGGUGAGUAACACGUGUAUAACCUACCUAUAAGACUGGGAUAACUUCGGGAAACCGGAGCUAAUACCGGAUAAUAUUUUGAACCGCAUGGUUCAAAAGUGAAAGACGGUCUUGCUGUCACUUAUAGAUGGAUCCGCGCUGCAUUAGCUAGUUGGUAAGGUAACGGCUUACCAAGGCAACGAUGCAUAGCCGACGUGAGAGGGUGUACGGCCCCACUGGAACUGAGACGCGGCACAGACACCUACGGGAGGCAGCAGUAGGGAAUGUUACGCAAUGGGCGAAAGCAUGACGGAGCAACGCCGAGUGAGUGAUGAAGGUGUUCGGAUCGUAAAAAUCUGUUAUUAGGGAAGAACAUAUGUGUAAGUAAAUGUGCACAUAUUGACGGUAACUAAUAAGAAAGCAACGGCUAACUACGUG